GGUGAUUAGUGACAGAGUGAGGGAGGGGGUGACUAGUGACAGAGGGAGGGGGUAACACAGUGACAGAGUAAGGGGGUGACUAGUGACAGAGUGAGGGAGCGGGUGACACAGUGACAGAGUUAGGGAGGGAGUAACUAGUGACAGAGAGAGGGAUGGGGUGACUAGUGACAGUCACCCCCCCCUCACUCUGUCACCAGUCAUCCCCUCACUCUGUCACUAGUCACCCCUUCCCCCCCUCACUCUGCCACUAGUCACCCAUUCCCUCACUCUGUCACUAGUCUCCCAUUCCCUCCCUCUGUCACUAGUCUCCCCCUCUCCUUCCCUCUGUCACUAGUCUCCCCCUCUCCUUCCCUCUGUCACUAGUCACCCACUCCCUCACUCUGUCACCAGUCACCCCCACUCACUGUGUCUCCCCCUCACUCUGCCAC